rnacentral:rRNA from 1 species
UGGGGAAUUUUGGACAAUGGGCGAAAGCCUGAUCCAGCAAUGCCGCGUGUGUGAAGAAGGCCUUCGGGUUGUAAAGCACUUUUGUCCGGAAAGAAAUCCUUGGCUCUAAUACAGUCGGGGGGAUGACGGUACCGGAAGAAUAAGCACCGGCUAACUACGUGCCAGCAGCCGCGGUAAUACGUAGGGUGCAAGCGUUAAUCGGAAUUACUGGGCGUAAAGCGUGCGCAGGCGGUUUGCUAAGACCGAUGUGAAAUCCCCGGGCUCAACCUGGGAACUGCAUUGGUGACUGGCAGGCUAGAGUAUGGCAGAGGGGGGUAGAAUUCCACGUGUAGCAGUGAAAUGCGUAGAGAUGUGGAGGAAUACCGAUGGCGAAGGCAGCCCCCUGGGCCAAUACUGACGCUCAUGCACGAAAGCGUGGGGGAGCAAACAGGAUUAGAUACCCUGGUAGUCCACGCCCUAAANGAUGUCAACUAGUUGUUGGGGGACUUCAUUUUCCUUAGUAACGUAGCUAACGCGUGAAGUUGACCGCCUGGGGGAGUACGGUCGCAAGAUUAAAACUUAAAUGAAUUGACGGGGUCAUAGCUGUUUCCU